rnacentral:rRNA from 1 species
GACAGCGAAAGCGUUAAGCAUUCCACCUGGGGAGUACGCCGGCAACGGUGAAACUCAAAGGAAUUGACGGGGGCCCGCACAAGCGGAGGAACAUGUGGUUUAAUUCGAUGGUACGCGAGGAACCUUACCCGGGCUCAAACGCAUAAUGACGACAGUUGAAAGAUUGUUUCCCUUCGGGGCAUUAUGCGAGGUGCUGCAUGGUUGUCGUCAGCUCGUGCCGUGAGGUGUCGGCUUAAGUGCCAUAACGAGCGCAACCCCUAUCGACAGUUGCUAACGAGUAAAGUCGAGGACUCUGUUGAGACUGCCGGCGCAAGCUGUGAGGAAGGCGGGGAUGACGUCAAAUCAGCACGGCCCUUACGUCCGGGGCGACACACGUGUUACAAUGGCAGGGACAGCGGGAAGCCACCAAGCGAUUGGGCGCGGAACCCGAAACCCUGUCUCAGUUCGGAUUGGAGUCUGCAACUCGACUCCAUGAAGCUGGAUUCGCUAGUAAUCGCGCAUCAGCCAUGGCGCGGUGAAUACGUUCCCGG